GUGUGGUGUCAGUGAUUUGAACAACUUCAGGCACAGUCGGUGCUUCAUCUUGAGUCAGCACGGCUUCUUCUUUAGCAACCCCACCUUUCGAUCUUGGAGGGAUGAUGCUACUCAAGUCGAGGUUCGGAUAUAAUUUUUCGACCACAUCUCGACCGUCUUCAUAUCCGACGCAGUACGAAGCAAAGCCACCUUUGAGGAUCUCUUCUUUGAAUUCUUUUAAACUCUAAAAAUCUUCGAUUGCCCGACUCAAUGCCUCCCUUGCUGACUCUGCUUCUGCCUUCGCCAAAUCAGCAUCCGCUCGAGCAAAGGAUGACUCUUCUUCGGCCAGUGCCAACCUUUCC
rnacentral:lncRNA from 1 species